rnacentral:rRNA from 1 species
AGGAUUAACGCUGGCGGCGUGCCUAACACAUGCAAGUCGAACGAGGGGGGCAACCCCCGAGUGGCAGACGGGUGAGUAACGCGUGGUCAACCUACCCUAGAGUGGGGAAUAACUAGCCGAAAGGUUAGCUAAUACCGCAUGAUACGUUUUGGGACAUCCCAGGACGUUGAAAGGAGCAAUCCGCUCGAGGACGGGACCGCGUCCGAUUAGCUAGUUGGUGAGGUAACGGCCCACCAAGGCUCCGAUCGGUAGCUGGUUUGAGAGAGCGACCAGCCACACUGGGACUGAGAAACGGCCCAGACUCCUACGGGAGGCAGCAGUGAGGAAUUUUCCGCAAUGGGCGAAAGCCUGACGGAGCGACGCCGCGUGUGGGAAGAAGGCCUUCGGGUCGUAAACCACUGUCGAAGGGACGUAUACUGAAGGUACCCUUGGAGGAAGCCCCGGCUAACUACGUGCCAGCAGCCGC